CUCUUCUUUCUCUGUUUCUCUCUUGCGAUCCCCUCUCCACUCUACUCUCUCUAUCUCUCAGAUCUCAUCCCUCACUCUCCGUGCCUCUCACCUUCUCCAGUCUUCGUCUCUCACCUCUCACACACUCUCCGCGGCUCCGCUUCUCACCCUCCACGUUUCCGAUUCUCACCUUGGCGUCUCAGAUUCUCACCCCGCCCAGUAUCUCCGAUUCUCACACUGGCGUCUCCGAAUCUCACAUCGGUGUCUCCGAAUCUCACAUUGGCGUCUCCGACUCUCACCCCGGCGGCUCCGGCUCUACGCCCUCCGCUCUCUCAAGUCUCGCCUUUGCUUUAGUUACUUAGUCACUCCCGGAAACCUUAGAUCUCCUUUGGGGCUUCAACUUGACUUAUGAGUUGUGACUGCCGUCCACCAGUCCGCUACUCAAAGGACGCCGUCAGAGCCUUUGGCCAUGAAAACCUAAUAGGUCCUAAUUCGAAGAAGACAAAUGAAUAGUCAGACCCAGACCAUUGGUGAAGACUGAAGAGUCAUUGGAUCAAUUUUUGCUUAUUCAAAUCGGGAGCAAACUAAAUGUACUAAGAUGAUUGGCAUUACCCCCAACCAUAUUUCACUAUGUUUUAAGGAGUAUUUAAUUUUUGUCUUGUGCUUGUAAUUAACUUAGUUUUACGGUAGGCAGGUAGAAUCUUGUAAUUAUUGUCAUGGUUUAUUAUUAUUAAUAUUAUUUUAUUGGAUUUAUAAUUUUGGGUUUA